UCAUCACUCAGCCACACAGAGAGACCACAGGAGGGACAAGGCUUGGUUACCUCAUACAAAAGACAAAAAUUGGUGUUUCCGGAUUAGCAGGAGCCACUCUUUAGACCACAAUGACAAAGAUAUUCCACGUGCACUGUCUGGAAAUCUAGAAGACUUUUGGGUCAUUGAUGGGCUGGGCCACCCAGAGAAAGGGCCCAAGCUCCUGAGAGUGAAACCAGGAAAAUAACCUGUCACCAGGUCUGGAAUGCCUGUUGCCCUGAAAGCCAAACUCACAAGACAGGGGCUAAGGUGAAGAAAAGAAGUUUAUUCCAACUGCUGGCUACUGGGGAGGUAGACCAGAAGCCCAGGUGAAAUCCGUGAGGAGACCACAUUGACUGUGAGAACAGAAAAAGAAAGAAGGGGAACAGACUCUCUGAUCAGAUGUUCCUGGUCUCCGCUUGGUGCUGACCAGUGUGAGAACUGGGGUGGGGACUGACCCAGCACACUGACCCCCACCCAGCUGGAGGGAGCCCCACCCACCAGGAACAGCCUGCUCUUCAGCAAAACAGUGACUAGUCAAGUGGCAUGAAACACCUACUAAUGCUUUUCUCAGUUUUAUUAGGAUUCUCUGUAAGGUUUCAUUUUCAGCGAUGUUUGAGCUAAUGGUUUGACAAAUGUGGAAUCAGAGUUCACCAGCACAGACAACAGGAAAUGUCCGCGCAAAACCCACAGCUUUCUGUGCACUGGCAGAAACCAGUUAAAGAUUAUAACAGAAAAACAGGCUGCAUUCAGAAUCCCUGCAAAAACCUGUACGAAGGAACAGGCCUAAGAAUAGCUGUAUGGGGAACGUCACAGAACGUGGCUAACAGAAGCGAGGACCUGAGGACAUUGGGAAUGACAUCCUGCUAAACGGGCGCUCACACCAUUAACUCAUCAAGUCAGCGCAAGUCUAGCUGCAUUCCACACGUGCAGCAGGAAGAUUCCUCGUGCACCUUAACAGCAAUGCUCAAA